rnacentral:rRNA from 1 species
CCCUUAGAUGUUCUGGGCCGCACGCGCGCUGCACUGAUGCAUUCAACGAGUCUAAAACCUGGUCUGAUAGGGCUGGGUAAUCUUUUGAAAGUGCAUCGUGAUUGGGAUAGAUGAUUGCAAUUCUUCAUCUUCAACGAGGAAUGCCUAGUAAACGCAAGUCAUCAGCUUGCAUUGAUUACGUCCCUGCCCUUUGUACACACCGCCCGUCGCUCCUACCGAUUGAAUGAUCCGAUGAAUACCAUGGAUUGAGAGUACGAAUGGGUUCGCUCAUUUCUGCUGCUCGAGAAGUGGAGUAAAUCUUAUCAUUUAGAGGAAGGAGAAGUCGUAACA